GGGAAGACAUGAAGGGUUGUAUGCAGAUUUGGGCAGGGCACAAAGAUGAAAGCUGAGGUACUCCACACUCUCAUGGGCCAUAGUCUUAUGGAUUUCUUCUAGGAUUCUCUUGCCUGGUGGAGGCCCAAACCUCAUCAUGCAAGGCAGGCCAAGACUCAGGAAGGGAAAACAAGAAGAUGAACGUGUAAGCAGGAGGAGCCAUUGGCCUCAUGGGAAAAGAAGGGGAAGAAUACAAAGAUGGAACCAAGAGCCUCAAAAAUCAUAGGCAAGCACUCCACCCGUCCUGCUUUCUAUGCUGCUGUUGAAAAUAGGAGAACAGUGCUCUAAGUCUCCACUGUGACCCUGGCCACUCGCAGCAGCAGCAGCAGCAGCAGCAGCAGCAGCAGGCAAACAGCAUCCCAAUGGUGUGGGAAGUUACCUGUCUAAAUUACAUACUUUUCUCAUUGCUGUGAGAACUAGCCGAGAAGGGAGGAAGAGUAUAUUUUGGUUCCCUGUUCAAGAGGUCACAGCCCCUCAUAGUAGGUUUUGUUUGUACAAGACUGACCUCCAAACCAAACUUUCAACUUCUGUAUUUGUGCGCAUGCACGUGGGGGGGGGGGGGCGACUUGCAAAUGAUGUCCACAGCUGGGCCUGUUGACUGCUGAUGUUCCCUCAUUGAAGGAGCAAUAGAGAUGGUAAUGAAACCCUCAAUGGAGUAUCCAGCUGUUCCACCAAACCAGGUGUAUGCAAGUCUGCCCUAAUUGCACAUGAAGUCCAGGAGGGACUAGAAAUGUAUAGGCAGGGAAGGACUGGGUGGGCCACUUCAUCUGCGCAGCCAUAGGGGAGUCAUCACCCAUACUGGAUGCAGACCUUAGUGUGGCUGUUUUAAGGCCACCCGUGCUCCUGCCUAUAACCCCCAUUGCUCCGUAAUAAACUCAUUGAUUGCCCAGGUCAAUGGAACAGUACUUCAGAUUGUCCUGGGGACCUUCGGAGGAAGGAUGCAUAUUGUUUAUGCCUCCCGAAGGGGAGGAAUUUUAGUGGCAGGCUUAGCAGCAAGAGUGAACACAUCUGGACAGGCAGCGAUCGGGAAGCAAAGAGAACAGGAAGUGGGAUAUAUGGCUAUAAAACCUCAAGGCCUGGACCGGCAAGAUGGCUUAGUAGCAAAGGCCCUUGCAUGCAAGUCUAAUAGCCUGACUUCAAUCCUGGAUCCCACAAUCC
rnacentral:lncRNA from 1 species